rnacentral:rRNA from 1 species
GAUGAACGCUGGCGGCGUGCCUAAUACAUGCAAGUCGAGCGAACAGACGAGGAGCUUGCUCCUCUGACGUUAGCGUCGGACGGGUGAGUAACACGUGGAUAACCUACCUAUAAGACUGGGAUAACUUCGGGAAACCGGAGCUAAUACCGGAUAAUAUAUUGAACCGCAUGGUUCAAUAGUGAAAGACGGUUUUGCUGUCACUUAUAGAUGGAUCCGCGCCGCAUUAGCUAGUUGGUAAGGUAACGGCUUACCAAGGCAACGAUGCGUAGCCGACCUGAGAGGGUGAUCGGCCACACUGGAACUGAGACACGGUCAAGACUACUACGGGAGGCAGCAGUAAGGAAUCUUCCGCAAUGGGCGAAAGGAUGACGGAGAAAAGCCGCGUGAGUGAUGAAGGUCUUCGGAUCGUAAAACUCUAUUAUUAGGGAAGAACAAAUGUGUAAGUAACUAUGCACGUAUUGACGGUACCUAAUAAGAAAGCCACGGCUAACUACGUG